GCGCUCUUUGACAUGGCAUUUAAAGAUAAUAAAUCACACUGGGAAUGCAUUGCACCUCGUCCAUCUAUGCUAGCGCUGCCAGACACCUACGUGACGAACAGUUUUGUGUACAGCCUUCCACUGUUUUCCAGCACAUGGCGCUGUGCAGUUUGUUUUUUUCCCCCAAUCUUAUUUGUUCACUUCACACUGCAGCGAGUAUACUCGCCUGAAAUUAAGCAGAAUUCAUUGAAUCUGCGGAUUUCAUGACGUUUCCUUACGUGGUCCAUUACUUGGUCUCUCCGCCUGGGCUUUUCUGUUGUACUGUGGUCUCUUUUGUGGUGUCUGAUCUCCAGAUCUCAUUUUAUUCUGUUCAAGCAAACCCAACAGGUUUAACAGCGAUAAUUUCGGAGGAAGCUGGCAAACUAUAUGGUAAACCAGACCGGAAUGUAUCACUUUUGGAGCAGAUUGUUCAAAUAUGAAUUCUGAGAAAAAAUAUUUAAUCACCAUAUGAAUAAUCAGUCUUCGAAAUCUAGAACUGUUUCGAAAAGGAAUCAAGAUUCAGCAAUGCCGAGGGAGAGAACAAGAAGAAUCCAGUAAGCAAAUUAUGAAUAUAUAGCACCAUGGACCACACUGGAAACCUUGGCACUUGAAUAUGAACAUAAUGGAAUACCACGUUUAGGAAGACUGAGAAGUUGUGAGUCGUCUUCUACAAACUUCUAAAGGUACAUGGGCGAUAUUGAUAGUGAAGCAAUAUGUUUAAGGAUAUAUCACAGGAUGGCUUUGUUUGUCACCUUAGACUCUUUAAGAUGCAGGACCAGGGACUAAGUCAAGG